rnacentral:misc_RNA from 1 species
AAGUCGUAACAAGGUUUCCGUAGGUGAACCUGCGGAAGGAUCAUUACAAAUCUUUGUCUUGCCUAGGUGUAGGUGGGCAGGUCUCUGGCCUGUCUGGCUACUCACUAGCAGACACAUAUGCACAGGGCCGCAAGGCUCUGAUGUUUACGCUUGUUUGUUUGACAGAUUUAUAUGUGACUAAAACUUGACAACUUUUAACAAUGGAUCUCUUGGCUCUU